GACGAACCGUGCGAACGUUGUUCGGAAUCACUGGGCUUAAAGGGCGCGUAGGCGGGCGGCCGCGUCCGGGGUGAAAUCCCACGGCUCAACCGUGGAACGGCCUCGGAUACGGGCGGCCUCGAGGGGGGUAGGGGCAUCUGGAACUGUGAGUGGAGCGGUGAAAUGCGUUGAUAUUCACAGGAACUCCGGUGGCGAAGGCGAGGUGCUGGACCCCAUCUGACGCUGAGGCGCGAAAGCCAGGGG
rnacentral:rRNA from 1 species